CUUAUGCUUUCAAUCACUUUCUUCUUCAACAUAAGUCAUAACAAUGGAGUCUUAUCUUCAAUAACACACACCCUUAAAACAAACCUCUGUCACAUCUCGCUACCAACCCUUUCAAAUUCCACAAUUUUGUCACGACACCUCUCACACGUAACCCUCUCUACUUCGACAUAACCAACCAGUCGCGAUCCAUUUCAAGACCCUCUCUCGCACAGUUGAAUCGUCGCCUGAAUUCUUUUCGUGUUCACGCCAUCGUGUUUGGGAGAAGAACAAGCCUGCGACACACUUUGCAUCAUCGCCGGAAACACCCGAAGUUCACAGCAGGAAUACUCCCUUCGUUACGUUCGUUUCGUCUUUCAUGUUUCUGUUCGAUGGAUUAAAAAGGAAAUCGUUCCUCAACCCUCCAGUCGUCGGAAGACGAAGACGUCGCCCGAACCGAAACCCGACUCGACGUGUUUCGGAUAAUCGCUCUUGUUCGUUCUCUCGGAUGUUUCCCAACCUUUACUCGUGCGUUAUUUCGAGAAAGCAUCAUACGCAACCACUAAGGACAAGGUGCUCCAAACUAAUCCAUCCACCAACUCACUCGCGGGAAUUCAGUAGGAAAAGCUUGCAACCACCG